UGUUCCAUGGUGUAAUGGUAGCACUGCAGUUUUUGGUACUGCCUGCCCAGGUUCGAGUCCUGGUGGAACAA
rnacentral:tRNA from 1 species